rnacentral:rRNA from 1 species
CAGUAGCCACGGUAAUACGAAGGGGGCUAGCGUUGCUCGGAAUUACUGGGCGUAAAGGGAGCGUAGGCGGAUGUUUAAGUCAGAGGUGAAAGCCCAGGGCUCAACCUUGGAACUGCCUUUGAUACUGGACAUCUUGAGUGUGGGAGAGGUAAGCGGAACUCCGAGUGUAGAGGUGAAAUUCGUAGAUAUUCGGAAGAACACCAGUGGCGAAGGCGGCUUACUGGCCCAUUACUGACGCUGAGGCUCGAAAGCGUGGGGAGCAAACAGGAUUAGAUACCCCGGUAGUCCCUGUCUCUUAUAC